UCCCUGAUGGUCCAGUGGUUAGGACUCUUCAUUGUCACUGCCAAGGGCCCAGGGUUCAAUCCCUGGUCAGGAAA
rnacentral:tRNA from 1 species